UACGGAGGGGGUUAGCGUUAAUCGGAAUUACUGGGCGUAAAGCGUGCGCAGGCGGUUAUGUAAGACAGAUGUGAAAUCCCCGGGCUCAACCUGGGAACUGCAUUUGUGACUGCAUGGCUAGAGUACGGUAGAGGGGGAUGGAAUUCCGCGUGUAGCAGUGAAAUGCGUAGAUAUGCGGAGGAACACCGAUGGCGAAGGCAAUCCCCUGGACCUGUACUGACGCUCAUGCACGAAAGCGUGGGGAGCAAACAGG
rnacentral:rRNA from 1 species